UCAGAUUUUGCAAGGUUUGGCACUUUAAGAAUUCACAGAUGAGAUUUGAAAUAUUCGUGUUUCUUUGGGUGCUAAAACUGGCAAUCUGU
rnacentral:pre_miRNA from 1 species